CCUACGGGUGGCAGCAGUGGGGAAUAUUGGACAAUGGGCGAAAGCCUGAUCCAGCCAUGCCGCGUGUGUGAAGAAGGUCUUCGGAUUGUACAGCACUUUAAGUUGGGAGGAAGGGUUGUAGAUUAAUACUCUGCAAUUUUGACGUUACCGACAGAAUAAGCACCGGCUAACUCUGUGCCAGCAGCCGCGGUAAUACAGAGGGUGCAAGCGUUAAUCGGAAUUACUGGGCGUAAAGCGCGCGUAGGUGGUUUGUUAAGUUGGAUGUGAAAUCCCCGGGCUCAACCUGGGAACUGCAUUCAAAACUGACUGACUAGAGUAUGGUAGAGGGUGGUGGAAUUUCCUGUGUAGCGGUGAAAUGCGUAGAUAUAGGAAGGAACACCAGUGGCGAAGGCGACCACCUGGACUAAUACUGACACUGAGGUGCGAAAGCGUGGGGAGCAAACAGGAUUAGAUAACCCUGUAGUC
rnacentral:rRNA from 1 species